UGGCGUCUCGUUUCCGCGGGGAUUCUGGAAGGCCCUGCUGAGAGCCAGGUCUGGGACAAGCACCAGCCACUCCAGAGAGAGCAACCCAGAGCGGGAGGGGCCACCUUUCCUGACCCUGUUUUCAACUUCCUGCCAGGUCCAGAAGACGUUAAGAAGCUUUUCACCAGAGCUUGGAGCCCGUGAGCUGAGGUGCUGUUGCUUAGCCAGGACCUGUGACAGUCUGACCACUCUGUCCCCGCAAGAAUUUGGACCAGGGGCUGCCCGUGGGCGGCCACAGCUAGCCGGGACUUCUCCUGACAGGCAGGGUUGAACCGGGGCGUCAGCGGACUUCACCCCUUCUCGUGGAGCAGCCGUGAGGCCAGGGGGUUUUCCCUGGCCGUCCCAGAAGAGGGGGAGGCCAGCUCUGGCACGACCUGCUGUGGGACCCUGCGUGAAUCACUGAACCGCUCCGGCCCUCAGUCUCGCCGCCUGAAAACUGGGACAACACUAUCUGCCUCCCAGGGCUGCUGGAAGGAUCGACUGCAUGUGGGUCUGAGCCGGCAGGAAAUGCUGCGCCACCAUGCCCAGCCUUUGUCGAGGGCUGAGUCCAUUUUCUGGCCGGCAGGUGCCUCUGCUGUGCUGGUGGCCAAUGGUUUUAAUGGCACAUUGGGGUUCAAGUCACGCGUUCUUAGCUCCGGUGACCAGCUCCAGCCACCGCACCUGGUGAGUGAGGGUCCGUGGGGCCGGCCUCCUGCG